UAACAGUUGUAAUAGCUGGUUGAUUUGACCAUGUGCUUCAUGUUGCAGCAGUGACAACAGCAGGGACUAAAUUUUAAAUUUUGUAAAAGUACAGGGACUAACAAAAGGUUUGUCCAAAAAAUUAUCAAUUUCAGUGAAAGGAAUCAAAGGGCGUCUCAGCAUGCUCGCAUCAGCUUGUGUCGGCGACGUGGUAACGGCCAACGUCAAAAAAGGUCUGCCAGCUGUCAUCGUCCGACAGCCGCAAACCUUGGCGUAGAAACGACGGCGUUUACAUGUACUUUGAAGGCCCAAAUGGUUUCCUUCUUCUUGAAGUUUUGUUUCUUCGAUUUGCCUUUUGUUGCUGGUUCUGAUUGUUGGUUACACUUAAUGAGAAGCAUAAAAUAAUGAUAAUUUGCUAGGUUUAAACAGCAUGGUGCUAUUCUUUUUUACUACGUAUUUCACAGCUUAAUUUGGGUUUUAUUCAUCUGUUUGAAGAUAAUGAAAGUUUUUUUGGCAUUGGGAUCUCUCUGGUUCACUUGUUCUUGCAAUAUCAGAUGUGAAACCUUGUUGAUAUGGCUGGUAUUUCUAAAUUCCAAGAAGGAUCUGCUAUCAUUGGUCCCAUUAGAAAGGAGUGCUGAUCUGUGGCCUAGAAUUGCAAGUGCUGCCAAUGCUAUUAUUCCCCUUUAACAUGUUUCUGAGGGAUUUUGAUCAAACAAUAUGUUCAAGUUUCUUUCCUGAUGUUGCAAUUCGCAACUGUUUCCUCAUGUUUCCAUUGAGACAUAGAUCCUUCAUCUGCAGGAACCAUUUUCAGACUCAUUUCAUUGUCGGUACAGAUGAAUAGAAGAUUGGACAAACGAAACAAUUAUUGGCCAAGAGACAAACACAAUUGCAAUAUGAAACUGACAUUUACUAGCAGAAAGGGUUUAAAACAGUGAUCCACUAUGCCAAGCCUGUAAGGCCACCUAAGGAUGCCUAUGGUUGCUAAUUUCUUGGGGAACUGGAACCUGACAAUCCAACUUAUUGACUAGGCAAGCCUGUGUUCGUGCUGAUAGUUCUUGUGCCAACAAACGCAUGGUGGUGGGAGUCGUUGGUCUAGCAAAUCCUUCAAACACAUUUCUGUAUUUCCAGGUGACAAUGUCGAAGAAGAUGAUGAUAGGGGAUUCAAGAGUUCCCCUGGAUGUCUUCCCAUCAUUACCUCUAAUGCCACUACUCCAAAGCUAUAAACAUCGCAUUUAUCUGUCAGCCGCAUGGUGAGUGCCAACUCUAGACAUUCCAGGUAAACAAAAAGAAAAAACUUUAGUGUUAUUCAGACAGUAUGUGAAAUAAGAAUGCAGAAAUCAUAUAGUGUUAACCUGGAGCCAUGUAGCCAUAAGACCCAACAACAGCCGUCCAAUUGGAUGAAUUGGGAUCCAACAAUCUCGCGGUUCCGAAAUCUGAAAGUUUUGGCUCAAAUCCAGCUUCCAACAAAACAUUACUCAAAGAUAUGUCUCGGUGUAUGACAGGUGGGGAACAAUCAUGAUGCAGGUAAGCAACCGCGUGAGCCAAUCCUUGCACAAUUUUCACCCUUUUAGCCCAGCCUAGCUCAACUCCACCUUCUUCUCCAUACAAUGCACUUUUCAAGCUUCCUCUUUCCAUAUACUCAUAAACCAAGUACAUUAGCCCUUUAUGAGAACAAGACCCGUAUAGCUUGAUGAUGUUUCGAUGCCUAACUUCUGUUAGCAUAAGGAUUUCAUUCUCAAAACUUUUCCGAUUGAUGACUUCAAUGUCAAUGGAGUCUGGUAUAUUGAGUUUUUUAACUGCAACUACUUGACCUGUAGGCAAUUCUGCUAUGUAAACACUGCCUGAUCCUCCUUUCCCAAUGCAGUACCUUUCAUUGAAAUCCUCUGUUGCUUUUACUAUGUCUCCAAAUUUGAACCUUCUUUCUAUUUUGUUCCAUAUUGACUCAGAAUGUUCGAACUUUCUACCUUCAGCUUCCUUAUCCAGUUGAUUUCUUUGGUGACGACAAGCGAAAAUUGCAGCCACAGUUGAUGCUAAUAUGCCAAAGACAGGAAGUGUAAUACCAAGAACCAACUUUACAGUACGCUGUCUCGAGCUCUUACUAGUUGAAACUGAACCACAAGGAGGAAGUCCUUUGAUAUUUGCACACAAUCCUGAGUUUCCAGCAAAGGCUUCUUGGGAAGCAUUUUGGAAUGGACCAGCAAUUGGAACCGAACCCGUCAACUCGUUGUAGGAAAAAUCAAAUGAAUAAAGACUGAUCAUUUGGAGCAACGUGGUCGGGAUUCACCAGACAGAUUGUUGUGUGAAAGAUUAAUAUUCUCCAGCGAAAUCAGUCUUCCCAACUCUGGUGGAAUUUUCCCUGAAAUUGAAUUGCUGCUGAGGUCUAAUGAAUACUGAAGAACAUCCAAGCUCCCUAACUCACUUGGAAGGUCACCAGAUAACUUGUUGUGGUUCAAGUUCAAGCUCAACAUCUUGUUGCAGUUCCCUAGCUCUUUUGGUGUUGUUCCAGUCAAGCUGUUUUUGGACAAAUCUAAAAAUUGAAGCUCCAAUAGACCACCGAUGUUACGAGGUAUCGGUCCUGACAGAUGAUUGUUGCUCAAAUUGAGUUUAAACAACUUCUUCAAAUUCCCAAGCUCACUUGGAAUGGUCCCAGUCAACUUGUUUGAGUCCAAAGUUAACAACUGCAACUCUGUCAACUUUCCGAGCUCAGCCUGUAUUUCACCCGAAAUUCGAUUCCGGUCCAUCCGUAGAUUGGUAAGGAUUUUGCAUUCUCCCCACUCUGGCGAGAUUUCACCAAUGAAUUGAUUGUCCAUGAGGUUAAUAAAUUUAAGAUUCGGAUGAACUCCAAAUGCAUUCGUAAUGCUACCGGUAAAUUGGUUCCCAUCAAGAAGAACUCUAUUUAAUCCACUGCAGUUUCUCAGGCAAGCUGGCAAUGACCCUGUGAAGUUGUUGCCAUUAACAGUAAACAUUUCAAGAGCAAAGCCACUACACAGUUGAGGAGGCAAUUCCCCAGAGAAAGUGUUGUUGGCAAAGCUAACAUAAUUCAGCUGAGGAAUGUAUCUCCCAAAAUCCUGAGGAAUUCUCCCUGAGAAUUUAUUGCUAAACAAUGAAAAGCGUUGUAAAUUAGUGAGCUGAGAAAUGGACUCUGGCAACUCACCGUACAGUCUGUUCGAGUCAAGGCUUAAAUAUAAGAUCGAUGUCAGAUUACCAAUAUCUUCUGGUAUUGUGCCUUUGAGAUUAUUUUGGAAAAGAUGCAAGCGUUUCAGGUUUUUCAUUCCCCAUAGAGUCAGAGGAAUGGGGCCCGAAAGCUUGUUUGUUGAAAGGUCUAAUUGUGUGAGAUUCUCCAAGCUCCCUAUCUCAGAAGGAAUCAGUCCUGAUAGUUUGUUGUUAAACAAAUAGAGGAGAUUGAGCUUUCUCAAUAAGCCAAUUUCUGGAGGUAUCAUUCCAGUGAAAGAGUUGAAUUGAAGUUGCAGUGAGAUCAAGUUGGUCCAGUUACUGAUAAGAGAAGGUAGGAUCUCACCAGAAAGUAAAUUAUGAGACAACCCCAACUCAGAUAUUUUGGCGAGAUUAGACAAUGACAAUGGUAAUUCCCCAGUAAGUUUAUUCUCAGCUAAGGCCAGAAAAGUGAGAUUAGAACAAGAACCAAGCUCAAAAGGAAUUGUGGAAUUCAAUCUAUUGGAAUUAAGAUCAAGUUUCUGGAGCUUUGUUAAUUGGCCUAAAGAAGAUGGAAUCUUGUUUUCAAAUGAAUUUGCACACAAUUCCAAGGUUUCAAGAUCUGAAAGGAACCCAAUACUCUCAGGGAUUGGACCAUUUAACUUAUUGGUUCCUAAACGGAGGUUUAUGAGCUUGGAAAGCUUGGAAAUGUUUGGUGACAAUGGUCCCUGGAAUGAGUUAUUUGUGAGGUUAAGAUACUGAAGCUGACCCAAAUUGGUGAAAACCGACUCUGGUAUUGGCCCUGUUAGGUUGUUCACUGACAAGUCAAGGAAAGUCAAAUUCCUACAAUCUUGUAUAAAACCAGGGAACCUCAAAGUAAGUGAAUUGUUUGCUAGACUGAGGUGUCUUAACAAUGGCAUAGCUAAGAACUUGGACCAAUCAGGUUGAGAUAUCGAAGCUCUGGUAAUCGUCCAAGCUCCGAGGGUAUGUUACCUUUGAAGUAGUUGUCGCUCAAAUCCAGGUAAACAAGCUUAGACAGGCUACCGAUGGCGCCAGGUUUAGUUCAGACACCAUGCCAGCACCGUCGCAGGCAACUGAAGUCCAGUUGCAGAGGUUGUUAAUGUUUUCAACAGACCAAGAUUCCAGAGAUGUUGGAGAGUGAACCAAGCUGUUCUUCCAUUGAAUAAGGGCUUCCCCUUGUGAUCUUGCUGAAGAAAAGGUAGUAUUCAAAGGAUUUAAGCUAAGAAACAUAAAAUGGCAAACAAAAAUGUAAAGCUUUUGAAUAGUUGACAUGGGGUUUUAUUUAGUUCUGUACUUGUUUCGUUGUUCUUCAUUAACACUCUUAUUUAUAGCUGCUACUGAUUGGGAUUUCUGUAGCAAAAAAAAGUGAGUUUUUCAUUUCAUUGGUCUCAUAUUAAUUUACAUUAUUUUGAGAUUUAUCUAACCAAA